CAACCCUCAAGCCUGGCUUGGUGAUGGGGCACUGCUUUUACCCAAAGGCAGGCCCUGAAAUAUAGUGGCGAGCUCGCCAGGACCCCGAGCGCAGUAGUUAAACCCUCGCUCUGGAAGGCCCUGGCGGUGCCCUGCCGUUAAACCCCCAACUCUUGAAA
rnacentral:misc_RNA from 1 species